AUUUAAAUACUUUUUAAAACUUUGCUACUUGAGUAACUGUUAUCCUGUUACCGUCUUUUACCAACAGAGCUGGUUUAUUUGUGUGGAAAUGUGUACGGUACGGACUUAUAGACAUAAAAUACUUGGAAAAAAAUUAGAGUGUUCAAAGCAGGCUCUCGAGCCUGGAUAAUGGUGCAUGGAAUAAUGGAAUAGGACGUCGGUUCUAUUUUGUUGGUUUUCGGAGCGCGAGGUAAUGAUUAAGAGGGACAGACGGGGGCAUUCGUACUGUGCCGUUAGAGGUGAAAUUCUUGGAUCGGCGCGAGACAAAUGACUCUGAAAGCAUUUGCCAAUAUGUUUUCUUUAAUCAA
rnacentral:ncRNA from 1 species